rnacentral:rRNA from 1 species
GAUGAACGCUGGCCGCGUGCUUCACAUGCGCAUGUCGCACGGAAACGCCAGUGUUCGCUCUGGUUCGCGAGUCGCGAACGGGUGUAUAACGCGUGGGUGAUCUGCCCUGUACUUCGGGAUAAGCUGGGGAAUCUGGGUCUAAUACCGGAUAGCACCACUUUUUGGAUUUUUGUGUGGAAAUCUUUUGCGGUAGGGGAUGAGCUCGCGGCCUAUCAGCUUGUUGGUGGGGUAAUGGCCUACCAAGGCGUCGACGGGUAGCCGGCCUGAGAGGGUGUACGGCCACAUUGGGACUGAGAUACGGCCCAGACUCCUACGGGAGGCAGCAGUGGGGAAUAUUGCACAAUGGGCGCAAGCCUGAUGCAGCGACGCCGCGUGGGGGAUGAAGGCCUUCGGGUUGUAAACUCCUUUCGCUAGGGACGAAGCGCAAGUGACGGUACCUGGAGAAGAAGCACCGGCUAACUACGUG